AACGUAGGUCACAAGCGUUGUCCGGAAUUACUGGGUGUAAAGGGAGCGCAGGCGGGAAGACAAGUUGGAAGUGAAAUCCAUGGGCUCAACCCAUGAACUGCUUUCAAAACUGUUUUUCUUGAGUAGUGCAGAGGUGGGCGGAAUUCCCGGUGUAGCGGUGGAAUGCGUAGAUAUCGGGAGGAACACCAGUGGCGAAGGCGGCCUACUGGGCACAAACUGACGCUGAGGCUCGAAAGUGUGGGUAGCAAACAGG
rnacentral:rRNA from 1 species